GGGCAUGCUACCGGGAGGGCCUCUGCCGGUCCCGGGGCGUGACAUCAAGUCCACAUCCAAACCUAACCCAAACCAAGUCCACAUAAAGAACCCAAACCCAUUCCACAAAUAAAAUCCAAACCAACCCAAACCAAGUCUAUAAAUAAACCCAAAAUUCAAACCGAAACCCGAACCCAAAACCAAAAUCCAAACCCAAUCCAAAUCAAGUCCACAAUCAAAAUCCAAAUCCAAAACCCAAAUCCAACUUCCAACUUAGGCUCAUGAACCUAAACCAUACCUAAGUUCGUGAACCAAAUCCCAAAUCCUAUACCCAAGUUCAUGAAUCAAGUCUCACGGACCAUACAACCAUACACCAAGUUCAUGAACCAUGAACCAUAAGCCAAGUUCAGAAACCUCAUCCAUGAACCAUAUCCAAGUUCAUGAACCAAAUCCCAUACACCAAACCUCAUAAACUAAACUUAUAAACCAUACACCAAGUUCAUGAACCAUGAAUCAUGAAUCAUGAUCCAAGUUCAUAAACCAAACCAAACCAAAUCUCAUGAACCAAAUCCCAUGAACCAUAUACGAAACCUCAUGGACCAUGAACCAAACCAUACCUAUGUUCAUGAACCAAGUCUCAUGAACCAAAUUUCAUGGACCAUACACCAAACCUUAUAAACAAUAACCAAAGUUCAUAAACCAAAUCCCAUCCCAUAGACUAUAUACCAAGCCUCAUGAACCAUACACCACAUCCCAUCCUAUGAACCAUACACCACAUCCUAUCCUAUGAGCCAUACACCAAACCAUACCCAAAUCUCAUGGACCAUAUCCAUGAACCAAACCUCAUGAGCCAAUAUCCAAAUCUCAUGAACUAUAUCCAUGAACCAAAUCUCAUGAGCCAAUACUCAAAUCUCAUGAACCAUAUCGCCUACCCCUAAUACAUAGGGCUAAGUCAAUCGCCUUAGUACAUAUAACUAAGGCAAAAUAUCUCCAAAAUCGACAGAGUUCUAAACUAUAUACUUAGAAUUCAAUCACAUGAUAUCAAGUUCAUUCGAAUUCUAACACAUAUACUUAGAGUUCAUCCGACUAACCCUAAUACAUACCCUUAGGGUCUGGUCAACCUUUUACUCU
rnacentral:lncRNA from 1 species